rnacentral:tRNA from 1 species
UGGAGUGUAAUUCAGUUGGUAGAAUGUUGUUAACUCAACGUGUCGCAGGUUCGAGUCCUGUCACUUCAA